GUGCCAGCCGCCGCGGUAAUACCGGCAGCCCGAGUGAUGGCCGAUCUUAUUGGGCCUAAAGCGUCCGUAGCUGGCCGCGCAAGUCCAUCGGGAAAUCCACCUGCUCAACAGGUGGGCGCCCGGUGGAAACUGUGCGGCUUGGGACCGGGAGGCCUGAGGGGUACGAUCGGGGUAGGAGUGAAAUCCUGUAAUCCCGCUCGGACCGCCGAUGGGGAAACCACCUCAGGAGAACGGAUCCGACAGUGAGGGACGAAAGCCAGGGUCUCGAACCGGAUUAGAAACCCUAGUAGUCC
rnacentral:rRNA from 1 species